rnacentral:lncRNA from 1 species
GGGUAGGGAAGCACGUGGUGGUGUUCGGCGGCGAGGUGGACCCCAGCGAUCUCGGCCACCUAGGCGCCGGCAAAUUCUCCGCCGAGGCCUUCGUGCUGGACACCGACACCGGCGCGUGGGCCAGGCUGGAUGACGCCGGGUCUGGUCACCACCCCGGUCCUCGGGGUUGGUGCGCGUUCUCGGCGGGGGCGCUCGACGGCCGGCGAGGCAUGCUUGUCUACGGCGGCAACUCGCCGACCAACGACCGGCUUGGCGACAUGUUCCUCUUCACUCCGCUUCUAGC